rnacentral:lncRNA from 1 species
UAAGAAACCAAACAUGGAACAGUGAGUCAGCUGAGAGAUUCGCAAGAGUAGGGAACUGCUACCAGCCCUAGCUGGAAGUGCAAAAGAAGGAGGUAAUGUUAUCUCAUCCCAGCAGCUGGGGUCACCUGGUAGACGUGGCAGCAUGGCAAAGCUGUCCAGAGCCAUGAAGAAAUAGCACCCCUAAAGAUGCAGCCUGAGGUGGAUACCCUGGCUUCUCCCUUGCUUCUAACCCACAAAUGACUCCCAUUGGCUGAAUUCAACUGUAGCCAACUGACACAGAAGCCUGGAAAACACAUCCUUCAGGAGUCGGCCACCCUGCAGCACAGAGGAGAGCAGAAGGCUGCGGAAUGGAUCAGAGCGCCAACAUGCCAAUAACCACCAUGGUGUUAUACACACUUUCCUGUACCUGCUUUUCUCAAUCACCAUUACCUUGGGAAAAUCCCAGCAAAUCAACAGAUGACUUUCUCCAUAUGGCAGCAAAGAUGCCUGCUGGAAGCUCCAGAGUCACAAUUUGAAUCAACAAACACAACAAAAAUAGAGUUUCUUUCUCCCAACAUCC